GCACCGGGAGCCGCAGAGGGGCAGCAGGCGUAAAACCUGCGGGGCGGGUUCGAUUCCCGCCCGGUGCA
rnacentral:tRNA from 1 species